GACGAACGCUGGCGGCGUGCUUAACACAUGCAAGUCGAACGGACAGGUCCUGCUCGCCGGCUACUCGAGUGGCCAACGGGCGAGUAACACGCGGGUGAUCUGCCCUGCACUUCGGGUUAAGCCUGGGAAACUGGGUCUAAUACCGGAUAGGAGCUAUAUUUAGUGUGAUGGUUGGAAAGUUUUUUCGGUGUAGGAUGAGCUCGCGGCCUAUCAGCUUGUUGGUGGGGUUAUGGCCUACCAAGGCGGCGACGUGUAGCCGGCCUGAGAGGGUGGACGGCCACAUUGGGACUGAGAUACGGCACAGACACCUACGGGAGGCAGCAGUGGGGAAUAUUGCACAAUGGGCGCCAGGCUGAUGCAGCGACGCCGCGUGGGGGAUGACGGCCUUCGGGUUGUAAACUCCUUUCGCUAGGGACGAAGCUUUUUGUGACGGUACCUAGAUAGAAAGCACCGGCUAACUACGUG
rnacentral:rRNA from 1 species